CGUGAGCAACCUGCCUUUCAGAGGGGGAUAACAGUUGGAAACGACUGCUAAUACCGCAUAACGCUGCGAUGGGGCAUCCCGAUGCAGCCAAAGGAGCAAUCCGCUGAAAGAUGGGCUCGCGGCCGAUUAGCUAGUUGGUGGGGCAACGGCCCACCAAGGCGACGAUCGGUAGCCGGACUGAGAGGUUGAUCGGCCACAUUGGGACUGAGACACGGCCCAGACUCCUACGGAAGGCAGCAG
rnacentral:rRNA from 1 species